rnacentral:lncRNA from 1 species
AAGCAAGGAAACAGGAAGUGUUUCUUUUUUCCCCUCCACUCCUGCUCCAGCGGCACAAUGUGAUCCACCAGCAAGGAGGGACGCCAAUAAGGCAUCCGAUAAGUCUUAUAAAAUAUAUAGAUUUAUGAUAAUUAAGACUGAGCUAAAAGAUGAGGAAUCCUAGUCAUUGAUCAAGCAGCUUUGAACAUUAGUGGUCAAACAUGCAAAUCUACUUUUAAUCAAUAACAAGAAAGGAUCCUAUAUUCAAUGCAGGAAUCACAAGGCUGUUGAUUGAGUGUCUUUGAAACAUACUGCAGUCAAGCAAUUCCAUUGUCCUUCUGUGCAUUGUGAUUAUUCCAGCAAAGCCUUUCAAGUCCCUGCGCCAGUCAGAACAUCCCCCACCAGCAGAACUCUACACUGAACCACCACCAGUAAAAGUUCUAGCCAUGACAUUAGAUCAUUUUACCAGAGACCCUUCUACAACCCAGGAUGGGGUCCUCAUCUCCAGUAUCAUUCCUAGAACCUUCAAGUACCAUGAAAACUAGCCAGUAGUGAUGAAGCUUCCAGAUGAAUACCAGCUUGAUUUCUUCAGUUUCUAUGCUCAAAAGUUUCUCAGUUUCAGGAGGUCCCAUUUAUUAAUUGUCGAUAGAAGGAGGAAUGAUAAGCAAAGGGGUCAAGACCCUGCUAUGGAAAUCCACAGAAAUAGCUGACCUGAGCAAGUGGGAGCUCACGGACCCCAGCCAGACAGCUGGAGAACCAGCAUAAGACUGAACCAGGCCCUCUGAACAUGAUUGACAGUUAGGAGGCCUGGGCAGUCUGUAGGGCCUCUUGCUGUGGCAUCAGUGUUUAUUCUUAGUGCACGAACGGACUUUGGGAGCCCAUUCCCCCAUGGAGGAAUACUCUCUCAGCCUAAAUCCAUGGGGGAGGGCCUAGACCCUGCCCAAAAUGAUGUGACAGAUUUUGAUGAUUCCCCC